rnacentral:rRNA from 1 species
GUCUUAAAGAUUAUUAAUUUUAAGUCUAAUCUGCCCAAUGAAAUUUUUUAAAUGGCUGCAGUAUUUAUAACUGUACUAAGGUAGCAAAAUAAUUUGAUUUUUGAAUGAAAUCUGGUAUAAACGAUUAAAUGAAAUAUAAGCUGUUUCAAUUAAAAAAAUUUAAUUUUUUAUUUAAGUAAAAAAACUUAAAUUUAUUUUAAAGACGAUAAGACCCUAUAGAAUUUAAUUUAUUUUAAAUUAAAUUUAAUUUAAAAUAAAUUUUAUUGGGGUAAUAAAAAAAUUUAAUGAAUUUUUUUUAAAUUUUACAUUGAUUAAUGAAUUAUUUAUUUUUAUUAAAGAUUAAAAAAAUUAAUUACCUUAGGGAUAACAGCAUAAUUUUUUUUGAGAGAUCAUAUUAAUAAAAAAGGUUAU